UACGUAGGGGGCGAGCGUUGUCCGGAAUUAUUGGGCGUAAAGCGCGCGCAGGCGGUCGUUUAAGUCUGGUGGUUAAGCCCUGGGCUCAACCCGGGGAGGCAUUGGAAACUGGGCGACUGGAGUACAGGAGAGGAGAGCGGAAUUCCACGUGUAGCGGUGAAAUGCGUAGAGAUGUGGAGGAACACCAGUGGCGAAGGCGGCUCUCUGGCCUGAAACUGACGCUGAGGCGCGAAAGCGUGGGGAGCAAACAGG
rnacentral:rRNA from 1 species